rnacentral:rRNA from 1 species
GGCGAACGACGGGCAGGCUGGCGUGGUAAUGGGGGGGGGGGUGGGGUUAGCCGGAUGUACGGGGGGUAAGGGGUGCGUGGGGGGGUUCGUAAGUCGGAGGGGAAAGGCUAGGGCUCAACCGUAGUAAGCCUUUGAAACUGGGAAACUUGAGUGCAGGAGAGGAGAGUGGAAUUCCUAGUGUAGCGGUGAAAUGCGUAGAUAUUAGGAGGAACACCAGUUGCGAAGGCGGCUCUCUGGACUGUAACUGACACUGAGGCACGAAAGCGUGGGGAGCAAACAGGAUUGGAUACCCUAGUAGUC